rnacentral:rRNA from 1 species
AUUGAACGCUGGCGGCAGGCCUAAAACAUGCAAGUCGAACGAGUGGCGGACGGGUGAGUAAUGUCUGGGAAAAUGAAUGAUGGAGGGGGAUAACUACUGGAAACGGUAGCUAAUACCGCAUACCAUCAGAUGUGCCCACAUGGGAGGUGCUAGGUGGUGGGGUAACGACGCACCAAGGCGACGAACCCUAGCUGGUCUGAGAGGACGACCAGCCACACUGGAACUGAGACACGGUCCAGACGCCGACGGGAGGCAGCAUUGGGGAAUAUUGCACAAUGGGCGCAAUCCUGAUGCAGCCAUGCCGCGUGUAUGAAGAAGGCCUUCGGGUUGUAAAGUACUUUCAGCGGUGAGGCGUUACCCGCAGAAGACGCACCGGCUAACUCCGUGCCAGCAGCCGCGGUAAUUC